rnacentral:rRNA from 1 species
CAGCCGCCGCGAUAAUACGUAGGGUGCGAGCGUUAAUCGGAUUUACUGGGCGUAAAGCGUGCGCAGGCGGCCCGUUAAGACAGGUGUGAAAUCCCUGGGCUCAACCUAGGAAUUGCGCUUGUGACUGGCGGGCUCGAGUACGGUAGAGGGGGGUGGAAUUCCUGGUGUAGCAGUGAAAUGCGUAGAGAUCAGGAGGAACACCGAUGGCGAAGGCAGCCCCCUGGGCCUGUACUGACGCUCAUGCACGAAAGCGUGGGGAGCAAACAGGAUUAGAUACCCUGGUAGUCCACGCCCUAAACGAUGGGUACUAGCCGUUUGGUGCGCGAUAGCGCUGAGUGGCGAAGCUAACGCGUGAAGUACCCCGCCUGGGGAGUACGGCCGCAAGGUUGAAACUUAAAGGAAUUGGCGGG